ACAUCAACUCUCACCGCUAUUAACGAUGAGUCUUUUCUCCCUAUUGAAAGUGCUUUACAACCCUAAGGCCUUCUUCACACACGCGGCAUGGCUGCGUCAGGGUUUCCCCCAUUGCGCAAUAUUCCCC
rnacentral:rRNA from 1 species